AUGGAGGAAAUGGAUCGCGAAAGAAACGAGCUUGAAAACCUUGAAGUAGAAAACCGACAAAGAUUAGCAAAACAAGAAGCAGAAAAUGCUGAAAAACUAAAAGCAUUAGAACAGAAGCGAAGAGAGCUGGAACGUCUUGAAACUGUAAAGAAAAUGAAUGCUGCCAAAGCACGACUGAAAGUGUAUGAGCAAGAAAUCAAUUCAGAUGAAGAAAUCUCAGACCUCCUACACGACGAUGCUAAACAAAGAAAAGCUGCUCCUAAGCCAGUAAGUCUGCCUGAACUUCAGCUCGCACCAUCACAACCUACUGCAAAUCCGCAACAGUUUUCUGCUCCACAACAGACCACAAGGUGGCAACUUACAACCAAUGCUACACAAGAAGAUAGCACCACAGCACUGGCUAAAGCGUUAGCAGAGUCCAUUAACAUAAGUCGUCUACCAGUACCAGAGCCAGUUGUUUUCAAUGGCGACCCUCUCAAGUACAAAGAUUGGAAAAUGUCCUUUCAGACACUAAUAGACAGGAAAAACAUUCCAGUGAAUGAAAAGAUUUACUAUCUUCGCAAGUAUGUUGGCGGACCAGCCAGAAGAUCUGUCGAGAGUUACUUCCUGCUUGGUACGGAUGCAGCGUAUUAUGCAGCAUGGGAUACUCUGGAGGAAAGAUAUGGAAGUUCAUUUGUAAUUGCUAAAGCCUUCAGAGAUAAGCUAACAUCAUGGCCAAAGAUCGGAACAAAGGACAGUGCUGAGUUACGAGAGUUUUCAGACUUUCUCAGAGGCUGUGAAGCUGCUAUGCUACAAAUCAAGAAUCUCGAAGUCCUAAAUGAUUGCAGCGAAAAUCAGAAAAUGCUAAGCAAGCUUCCCGAUUGGCUAACAGCAAGAUGGAAUAGGAUAGUCAUUGAGGUUGAAGAGCAGCACGGUUCCUUUCCAACAUUCAGUAACUUUGUCGACUUCGUCACAAGAGAAGCCAAGAUAGCGUGCAACCCAGUAACGUCACUCCAUGCACUCAAGGGAAGUGACUCAGAGAAGGUUAAGCCUACAAAGACUCGAAGUGUCGGAGCUAAGGUGCUGGCAAGCAGUGCAGAAGAGAAACCAAAUACAAAGAAAUGUGUCUUCUGUGAAAGAUUAAACCAUAGCGUGCACACAUGUCGAAAGUUCAUGGACAAGCCUAUAAUGGAACGAGUCAAGUUCGUACAAACAAAAGGACUAUGUUUUGGAUGCCUAAACUCUGGACACCAUUCAAAGAAAUGUGGAAAGAGAAGUGUUUGUGACACAUGCAAAGGAAAACACCCAACCUGUUUACAUGAGGAAAGGGACAAGGAAAUCAGAAAGAACAAAGAAAGUGACAAGGAGCAAAAGGAAAGCAAAAGCAUAAACGACAUCAAACAAAGUAAAGAAGCACCAAAUGAGGCAAUAUCGCACCGUGUAGUCAAAAACAACAGCAGUAACCUCACAUCCACAAUCAGUCCAGUUUGGUUAUCCACAACAAGCGACCCAGAACAUGAAAUCCUGCUGUACGCCCUUUUAGACAGUCAGAGCGACACCACAUUCAUUCUACAAGAAAAGGCAGAUGCUCUGGACUCUGAAAAGAGACAUGUACAAUUAAAACUUUCUACGCUGUCAGCCAGAGAUGCAGUCAUUCCAAGUGAAAAGCUGUCUGGGCUACAAGUCAGAGGCUUCUAUUCCUCAAAGAGAAUCCCUCUUCCUGUAACCUAUACAAGAGAGUUUAUUCCUGCCAAUCUAAAUCACAUCUCCACUCCUAAGACAGCAAGAGCAUGGCCCCACCUAGAGCACCUUGCCGAAGAAAUCGCCCCUCUCAUAGAAUGCGAUGUUGGCCUGCUCAUAGGUUACAACUGCUCACAAGCACUGUUACCCAGAGAAGUUGUGUCAGGAAAAGACAAUGAGCCAUUUGCACAAAGAACAGACCUGGGCUGGACAAUAGUCGGUGGUGCCGACCCUUGUGUUGACUAUGGUGAUGCUAUUGGAAGCAGCCACAGGAUCAUUGUCAAGGAAGUGACACCCAGUCAGUCAUCGGAUCAGUUGCCAAAUGAAGUCCAUUACAUUUGUCGCACACAAGUCAAAGAAGUAGUCACACCACAAGAUGUGAUUAAAGUCCUUGAGUCUGACUUCAACGAAAGAAAGGUGGAAGAUUCUCACUUCUCCCAAGAGGAUCUGCGCUUCAUUUCUAUAAUGGAGGAAGGAGUGAAAGUGAAAGCAGACGGACGUUGUGAGCUACCUUUGCCAUUUAAAGAGGACAGACCAAGCCUGGCAAACAAUAAGAGCUGUGCAGAACACAGACUCAAAUGUCUCAAGAAAAGACUUGAAAGGGACAAACAAUAUCACAACGACUAUAUAACAUUCAUGAACGAAACAAUAGAGCGUGGAGAUGCAGAAAAGGUCCCACCUGAAGAACUGAACAAAAGCCCUGCCUGGUACAUUCCGCACCAUGGGGUGUACCAUCCCCAAAAACCUGGGAAAAUAAGAGUAGUGUUUGAUUGCUCAGCGAAGUAUGAAGGCGUGUCAUUAAACGAUCACCUGCUCACAGGGCCAGAUCUGACCAACACCCUGAUAGGUGUCUUGUGCCGCUUUCGCAAGGGUCCAGUGGCAGUGAUGUGCGACAUAGAACGUAUGUUUUAUCAGUUCAGAGUCAGAGCCGAAGAUCAAGACUACUUCCGUUUCCUGUGGUGGGACAACGGAGAUUUUCACUCAAGUCCAUCAGUCUACCGAAUGCGAGUCCAUUUGUUCGGAGCCGCUUCUUCACCGGCCUGUGCAAAUUUUGGUCUCAAGUACAUCGCAGCAAGGUCAAGGCCAGUUCAGUGA
rnacentral:lncRNA from 1 species